rnacentral:lncRNA from 1 species
GAAUACUCUUAUUCCCAUCUUUGAGGCCAUAAAUUCAGCUCCCCUUGCAGUUUUGUGGCAUCGGUGAAGAAUACCUUUUUUUGCGUUCAUCCUUGCGGUUUGACAACUUUUGCGAGGAACCACUCAGAUCUUUUGGUGACUUUGGCGAAAAACUAUUUGGAGUGCCUCGCCCCUUUGCAGCUUUGAUGAGGAGCCACUUGGAUUGAGAACAAGAGAUGUUGCCCUCAGAGAUUACAGUCAUCAUUCGAGAUUUGUUGUUCUUCACCAUCUAUAAGGAGGUGAAAUAUUCACGUCCAUCCAAGCUGCUAGCCUUGAACAUACGUCGAAUGAUUGGACCAACAUGAGUGAGUUGAGCCAGAUGUAGCAGCGGUAAUAUCCUUGCAUAUAGGGAACACCAUUGCUCUUUCUGAAAGACAUCGAAACAGUUAAUUUUGGAACUUGUAGUUUUUAAUUUUGCAGAAGAAAGAGAUGAAGGGCAGAACUGGUCAAUUUGUAGACAAUAAAUUUGUGCAAAAAAAUAAAAUUGCAACCACAAACAACCAUAAAGAAAAAAGGGAUUUUUAUUGAUAAACAUUGUGGGUUACAGCUCUUUUUGUCCCUUAAUUCUUUCUUCUGAUUUGUUAUCCAUAAUUCGAGGGCUUUAGCGGCGUAUUUCUCGAACGUAAGAUGAUAUACAUCUCCUUGAUAUAUUUGACGAUCAAUAAGCAUGUAGCAGCACUCCAUUUGAAUCUUGAAUGUUGCUAGAACUUUGAGCAAGAACAUAUUUGACAUGUCUUUGAUCUUUUAAUGAAUAUUCUAAGAGUUUUAUGGGAGAUCGUACAUUUGAUCUUUUUAUGCAUAUUCCGAGAGUUUAUGGAAUUGCUGAGAUCAUCUCCAUUUUCGAGUUCUCUUUUCAAAGGAAUAUGUAUUCCUUUUAUAGGUAUAACUUAGGGUUAGAGUAGAGUAACCUCCAAGCAAUUCUAAUGAACUUUUGAGCCUGAAAACUAUGAAUUGGGCUUGUCUUGUAACGGCCAACUUAAUGGACUUGAUUGUCAUGAUCCGGAAUUUCCACCCUCGGGACCGUGAUUGCGCCUAACAUUUGAUUUGCUAGGCAAGCCACACAUUAGCUAUAUUUAUUAACCAGUUUUAGCAAUUUAAAUCAUAUGAUGACAAUAACAAUCGAAUAGUCUGAAAUAAGGUGAUAAACAACUAAACGAUGUAAUCCAAAUACAAUCCUAGAAACUGGAGUAACGAAAGCAUGAGCGUCUAUAGUACUACAAAUGGUAGUCUGAAAUAAACACAACUGUUUGAAUCAAAAUAAACAGAAAUAAUGACAAAGAAGGGGACAUCAGGGAUGUAGACAUUGAGCGGCAAUACCUCAAGUCUCCACAUGUAGCUGGAUCCGGGCAAUCUCACUCAGCGCUGCUGGGACCCACUCCCGUAUUUGCACAAGAAAUGCGUAGUAUAGUAUGAGUACAACCGUUCUCAUAUACUCUGUAAGUGUCGGGCCUAACUUCGACGAAGUAGUGACGAAGCUAAGGCGGGCCACUUACAAUAACUUGUAUGCAGUAAUAAUAAUAACAUGAAAUAGAAAAUAGAAGUAAAGCUGUUAACUCUUGAAGCAAACUCGAAACUCAACUACCAAAGAGCCCAGAAUAACAAGUCUCAUAGUCUCAUAUCACAAUACCGAGGCAAAUCCAACAAUCACAAACAAGUAACACAUAUACAAUUUGUUGUGGUGCACAACCCGAUCCCACCAUACCAUCAUCUGUCAAUAUCGUAAUUCGUUCUUAUUCUACUAUUUCAAUUCAUUACUUUUCAAUUUCUGUUGUGACGUGCAACCCGCUCCCCAAAUAAUUUCAAUCGACAUAAACAAUUUAAUAAUCAAAUUUACGAGUAUUUCUACAUCAAGAGGGUAAAUGUACAACGCAAUAAAGAACCACAUAAUAAAUCAAGAAUCUUAAAUAACUCGAAGUCUCAACUUUACCAAUUCGCCGGUAUCUAUCAAUCAAACAAAUCAUGUGAGGGAAAUCACAUUUAUAGAAUGCAACAAAUAUUACAAAACAAUAAGGCAAGUAAAGCAUGUAACAAUUAGAUAUGCAAUUAAAGCAAGUAGAGGCAAAUAAGCAUGGAGUCAUGGAAGGGACGGACAAUCUAAUACAAGAACAAUUAAAUGACAAGUAACAAUUAUGGCAAAGUCAAAUAAAGCAUGUAAAAAUUAAGGCAUGGAGCAAGAUAUAGCAUGAAAUAAAUGAAAACAUGGAAACAAAUAUCAUGAUGACGUAUAUACACUCGUCACCUUGCAUAUACGCCAAUUUCCCACAUAUUUCACAAAACACAUAGUUCAAGGAUCCCUAAUUACCUCAAGUCAAGGUUAGACCCAACACUUACCUCACUUUGCGAAUAAAAGCAAUCAACCAACUAAGGCAUUUCCAUUCGAACAAGCCUCCAAACCAACCAAAUCUAGCAAAUUAUCGAUCAAAUGAUUCAAAAUAAGCUUUAGAAACUACCCAUUAAUGAAAGAGGUUCAAUUUUGAUCAUUUUUUAAAAAGUCAACAAAAGUCAAGCACGAGCCUACUUGGUCAAAACCUGAGGUUAGAACCAAAAUCCGAUUACCCAUUCACCCCCGAGCACGAUUAUGUGAUUUGUUUCAAAAUCUAACCUCAAUUUUAUAAAAUCCCCAAUUCUACUAAAAUCCCUAAUUUCUAUCGUGAAAAUCCUAAAUGUGAUGUUGAAAUCUCAUGAAAAAUAAUGGGUAAUUGAAAAGAAAUGGAUUAGAGUCACUUACCAAUGAAUUUGGAAGAAAAGUCUCCUGAAAAAUCGCCUCCAGCGUGUUUAGGGUUGAGAAAUGGUGUAAAAUGAGCUAAGUGUUGUUUCCCCCUCUUUUAACUGGCUGCAGAUGUCGCAAUUGCGAUGCCUUGUUCGUAAUUGCGAGCAUCGCAAAUGCGAGACAAGGGUCGCAAAUGUGAACCCUGUCACAAAAGUUCAGAAAUCGCAAUUGCGACAAAAAGAUCGCAAAUGCGAAGAUCCCCCCUUCGCAACUACGGCCAAAAUCUUCACAAAUGCAAAGAUGCUCUACUGUUGCAAGGCAUCGCAAAUGCGACCAAGUGAUUGAAAAAGCAAUACAUAGUUGUUCGCAAUUGCGAACCAUUUCCUCGUAAAUGCGAGGUUACCCAAUAUUACAUCCCACAUUUCAUACGUUAAAGUUUUGUCAUAAGUUAAUCGACGUAGACUCGGAAAUGAGAUUAUUUUGAGGUAAUAAGCAUUUAUACUAUUUAUAACAGGCGAUAAGUAAGUGACGUGAAGGUUAAAGGGUAAACGAAUAAAAAAAAUGAGUUUUGUUGAAGGUUGUCAAUUUGGAAUAAAAUAUGAUCCGAGCUAUAAUACCCGAUAUUUAUGGAUUAGUGUCAUACAAGAUACCACAUGACCAUGAUAGUAAGGUGUAUAAAGUAUGUUAAGAGUAAGUAGUAUUUUAAGUAAUAUGAGAUAAUUCUUAAUUAUGUGGAUAAUUGGUUAAUUAUGAAUUUUUAAGUGGGAGAUUAACAUGUAAUUGAAUUUGUGGAUAAUGUUUAAGGGGGACACCAUCCCUAACGUGGCAGCAAGCUAAUUAAGUGACUCUUACCCACAAAACAAGGUGUCACAUUUAGAGGAGCUCUUGACUAAGUCAUCACCUAAGUGGGGCCCACCCCCACUAAGGUAAAGGCUUCUCAAAAACAUAAAGAAUGAUGCUUAGUCUACAUAGCAACAUGAUUUGCUUGAGAAAUGCUUGUAUAUAAUCUACAUAGCAACGUGAUUUUCUUGGAAAAAAUUCAUAUGUGACUAUUUAAUACUGUAGCAACAUGAUAUUUGCGAUUCUAAGGAAAUACGGUGCAAUCUUUCUCAAGAAUAUCAUACGGAUUUUUCCUACUUCGAUCCGUCGUCACGUGUUUUAUCGCAAUUAGCGCGUGUUAGAGGGAUUGUCAAGAGAAUCGGUUAAGGUAUGUUAAGGCUAUCCCUUCUUUCCUUUUGGCAUGAUCCAAGUAACGAUACGUAAACGUAAUGUUAUUUCACAAAUGGUUCUACUCUUAGUAACAAAGAAGGUUUACUUUAUUCAUUCCUGUAAAAUGAUAUUCAAAGGAAGCCUAAGUAUGUUCCUAACUCUCUAUCAAGGCAUUGAAUAAAGAUAUUAAUGUUCAUAAUGGUAUUAUAUGCAUCAUCAUUUACCACCGGACUACGGCUGGUUGGGCAGUCAUGCAUUUACCACCGAGCUACGGCCGAUUGGGCAGUUACACAUUUACCAUCGUACUACGGCUGAUCGGGCAAUUACCAAUGAUCAAUUGGGCAGUUAAUGUCACGAGAAUGAUGUAAUCAGAACUAUUAUAUUGUAGUUUUAUUUAUAUAUAUGAGAUGAGUCUUAUUCUUUAUGUUAUUGCCCUUAGCGGCAAGUCAGAGGUUAUAAGUUGACUCUUAUCCCUCCCUGUGAUAGUAUCACUACAGCAUUUUAGGCCUACAACUACCCUUGAGAAGUGUGGCCUAAGAUGCCAAGAAGUGUAACAUUUGGGCAAAGGCAACACUUUACGACUUUAGACAAUGCUUCUUGGGGGUGGCCUAAAGUACCGUAACCUUUGACUAUUGGCCACAUUGCCUUAGAUGCCACGCUUUAAAAGUGUGACUGAUACGGUACAAAGGCCACACUUAUAUUUUCUUAUAUAGUCACGCUUUUAUGACAUAAGGCUACACUUAUGAAGCGUGAUCUUUGUCACGUUAUAAGCUACGCUUACAAAGUGUGGCUUCUAGAGCAACAUUUAUCAUUAACAAUGCCAGAUUGACAAUCCAUAUGGCCAUACUUUUUAAGCGUGGCGAUUUUGUCUACACUACAAAGUUAUUUUCAAAUACUUAUAUUAGCCACAAUUUUGUGGUUAAAAACUAUAUUUUUUUGCAUCAAAUUCUGUUCUCACACACACACUCACAUAUGUCACACCUCCAUUUUUACACACCCGAAGGUAGUAUAAGGGAGUUUUUUCACUUUAAGUGACAUUAUUCGAAAUAGGAUUAAUUAUUCAUUUUUAUUCAGAGUCGUCACUUGGGAUAAUUUAUUUGGUGUCCCAAGUCACCGGUUUAUUUUGAAUCCCAAAUCGAGGAAAAUUUCGACUUUCCUUUUGAAGUCUACGAACCAGAAAUUCUGAAUAAGGAAUUUUGUUAACCCGGGGGAAGGUGUUAGGCAUCCCCGGAUUCCGUGGUUCUAGCACGGUUGCUUAAACUAUCAUAAUUGGCCUAUUAUCUGAUUUUAAUACAUGUUUUAGCCUAUGGUUUACUAAAGGUUUGACCCUACUUAUCAAUUAACAAGCAUCAUAUUAAAAGACCAAUUAUCUCAAGGAAAAAAAGGGCUUCAACAAACAGCAACUGAACGGACCCGUUUACAAAUACCUUCAGGCUUAGGCCUGAACGAGCCCAAUUCUUAAUCACGUGCUCACAGCUGCCCAAAAAUUGAAUUUUGGAAUUCUGUAGGAGUAAUUCAGGUGAGGCAAAAAUCACGUGCUCACAGCUGCCCCUCUUUGCUCGGAGAGACGAAGGGUUUUCAGGCAAAGAUAAAAUGAGCAAUUAUGAGGUAUUUUUGCCCGUUUGAAACUCCAUGAGAAGCAUUUUUUAAAAGAGUUUGACCGAACUUUGCUUCAAAGGUACCUACAUAUCCUUGGCUAUAAAGAAAUCAGGUCAGUGUAGUUCUGAAAGUUUUGGUAGCUGGGGCUAUCGGAAAGUUGUGAUUUCACUGUUGCUGAUGCUGCUACUGCUUGUUGAACUCCUUAUUACACCAACAUGAAAAGUAAGAAGCUAAUCUAGCUAAACCUAUCAACUACGAGUUACAAGAUUCCUAUCUAUAAAUCUCUUGAAGCUUGAUCUUGGGUCUCAGCUGGUUCUUGCUGUGGACUCCGAUCUGAAUCUUGAUGCUCGUUAGCUGCAACCGCUGGUUCAUUCUUCAGCUUUUGGAUCAAGGCGGGACAUGCGAAGCUUGUGACCUCAAUCAAAUUUUGAGCAGUUUGCAUCCUUCUCCACUUCAGCACUUUGAGUUCACUUCUUUUUGUUACUUUUCUUCUUUUCUUUAUUUUGGAUUGAGACUCAUUCUUUUGGUCGUCUCGGACCCUGUGCCUUGAGGUCAAACCUGCUCAUACACUAAAACAAACAAAUGAACAAAAUUUUUCUGCCCCAGUUUUCACUAGGAAAAUUUUGUGAGUUAUUUGUAGCUAAGAUCUAAAACUUUUUCCCUUUUUUUUUUUGAAAGCGAUAAAAUAAGGAUUGUGUAUCUUUAGGAGGAAAGAUUAGGGAAUGGAGCCCUAUAUCUAAAAUUCUCAACUAGGGAAUGGAGGCCCUAUGUUGGCAAAAAGGCGACUAGAAAAAAAUGUGACGAGGGAAUGGAGGCUCUAUGCCUAAAAAUCUCAACUUAAGGAUUGGAGCCGUAAUGUUGGCAAAAGCCGACUAGGGAAUGGAAGCCCUAUGUCUAAAAUCUCAACUUAGGAGUUAGAACCCUAAUGUUAGCAAAAGGCGACUAGGGAAUGGAGGCCCUAUGUCUAAAAUCUCAACUUAGGGAUUGGAGCCCUAAUGUUGGCAAAAAGGCGACUAGGGAAUGAAUGCCCUAUGUCUAAAAUCUCAACUUAGGGAUUUGAGCCCUAAUGUUGGCAAAAAGGCGACUAGGGAAUGGAGGCCUUAUGACUAAAACUCUCAACUCAGGGAUUGGAGCCCUAAUGNNNNNNNNNNNNNNNNNNNNNNNNNNNNNNNNNNNNNNNNNNNNNNNNNNNNNNNNNNNNNNNNNNNNNNNNNNNNNNNNNNNNNNNNNNNNNNNNNNNNNNNNNNNNNNNNNNNNNNNNNNNNNNNNNNNNNNNNNNNNNNNNNNNNNNNNNNNNNNNNNNNNNNNNNNNNNNNNNNNNNNNNNNNNNNNNNNNNNNNNNNNNNNNNNNNNNNNNNNNNNNNNNNNNNNNNNNNNNNNNNNNNNNNNNNNNNNNNNNNNNNNNNNNNNNNNNNNNNNNNNNNNNNNNNNNNNNNNNNNNNNNNNNNNNNNNNNNNNNNNNNNNNNNNNNNNNNNNNNNNNNNNNNNNNNNNNNNNNNNNNNNNNNNNNNNNNNNNNNNNNNNNNNNNNNNNNNNNNNNNNNNNNNNNNNNNNNNNNNNNNNNNNNNNNNNNNNNNNNNNNNNNNNNNNNNNNNNNNNNNNNNNNNNNNNNNNNNNNNNNNNNNNNNNNNNNNNNNNNNNNNNNNNNNNNNNNNNNNNNNNNNNNNNNNNNNNNNNNNNNNNNNNNNNNNNNNNNNNNNNNNNNNNNNNNNNNNNNNNNNNNNNNNNNNNNNNNNNNNNNNNNNNNNNNNNNNNNNNNNNNNNNNNNNNNNNNNNNNNNNNNNNNNNNNNNNNNNNNNNNNNNNNNNNNNNNNNNNNNNNNNNNNNNNNNNNNNNNNNNNNNNNNNNNNNNNNNNNNNNNNNNNNNNNNNNNNNNNNNNNNNNNNNNNNNNNNNNNNNNNNNNNNNNNNNNNNNNNNNNNNNNNNNNNNNNNNNNNNNNNNNNNNNNNNNNNNNNNNNNNNNNNNNNNNNNNNNNNNNNNNNNNNNNNNNNNNNNNNNNNAAAAUNUCAACUUAGGGAUUGGAGCCCUAAUGUUGGUAAAGAAAGGCGGCUAGGGAAUGGAGGCCCUAUGUCUAAAAUAUCAACUCAGGGAUUGGAGCCCUAAUAUUGGCAAAAAGGCAACUAGGGAAUGGAGGCCAUGUGUCUAAAAUCUCAACUAAGGAUUGGAGCCCUAUAUUGGUAAAGAGGUGUAAAAGAUUGAGAUUGGGGAUUCUGAACUAUCAUUUUGUUCGGAUUUUCUUCUUUUCUUCUCUUUUUUUUCAUUUUCCUUUUCAUUUCAUUUUAUUUCAAUAAAAUGCAGGAAAGAAUUUUGGAGGAAAACUUCCCUUUUGGAUUGAUUGUUACUGCGAAGCUGUUUCUAGCUUUUGCGCAGCUUUUCUUUUGGUUGCACCUGCUUUUGCACGGUUGCCUUGGGCUGCACCUAUUUCAAUUUUAAACAAAGAACAAUUAUUAGUUUGAAACGGUGGUUGGUUUUGUGGCCUUGAUUGUCUCGAUCACUCGAUCUCGGCCUGAACCUUUGUUGAGAACCUCUGCUGCUUGGUGGUUUUCUGAAUAUUGAUCUAUCUUUCAAACCGAGGGACUCAACUUUUAAGAUUUCGUGGCGGCUUGCCUGCGAGGGGGUUCGACACUUUCACUUUAUUCCAUCUUUAGGGCUUUUGCCUUUGGCUUUCCUUUCCUUUCAAUAACUUUGAUUUCAGAGCAUCAUCCAUCAUGGCCAGUCGGGACUGACUUGAUGCACCCGCUGAGGCUGGGUACAUUUCUUUAGCUUUUGUUAGGCAGAACCCUGUAAAGCCAAUCUUGCCACCUUUUCUUUAUAUUAGAGUUAGACCAAAAGGGAUUCAAGGAAAAGUAAACAAAGGACAAGAAAAUGAGUUUAAGGAGAAGUGUCCCUUUCGGGGAGGAAGGAUGGACUUAUCGGGGGUGCAUGUAGACUUCAAUAGACAUGACAUGCUUCUUGGACUGGAUGCCCGAUCCGCACAACUAUCCCUACUUCUCAUAAACCCACUGCGACCCGUGUUUCAAAACUGAGGAACCUUGCCAGGACUCUUUCAAUACCAAUGGUGGUGAGGGGUUUCUUCUUUUCGAUCAACAGCGCCCUUUGCGGGUUUUCACCAAUUGACCUCUCUCAUUUCUCUUCUUACCAUUGCCUUAUAGUGCUCUUUUAUGAGUUUUCACUAACAAUACUCUCUUAUUUUUAAUUUCUCUGUUUACCAUCGCCUUACGGUGCCCAUAGGUUUUCACCAAUAAGACUCUCUCAUUUUAUUUUUCUCAUCUUUAUUGCAUCGAAUCCAAAUAACUGCGUUCUUUGUUUUUUUGAAAACCUUUCACCGAUUGAUCGGAAGGACUUUGAACAAGGUUUGGGUAAAGAGAAUCUGGACGGAAUUACAACUUUGGAACCGUUCUGGUGGGCUCAUUACCAAACCAUUAUAAUAUCUACCCCAGUUUCACUUUUGGGGGAAAUUGGAUUUUUAUUUUGGUGUGACUGAACCCCAGAGAGAGGCUGCCUACGUAUCCUUUCGGAAUCAAGUCAAACGUAGUUCAGGGAACUUUGUUUUGUUUUUCUUUGUUUUUUUUAUUUUUCCAAGUUCCAAAGAGGGUAAUGAAAGAAAAGUAACCGGCUCAAAGAGUUAGCAAAAGGAUUGGAGUGUUUGGGGUAGCGAGAAUGAAAGCCUUCGUCAUCCCAAUCAGAUAGUGUUAUUGCUGCAAAAGGAAAAGACAUAGUACCUUUUGACCGCAUCUGUGUUCACAGCUGCCUCGAGGUCAUUUACUUCGGUAUCUCCUAGAUAUAACGCUCCUCUUGGUAAUAUCUUUCGGAUAAUGUAUGGGCCUUUCCAGUUAGGAGAAAAUUUCCCUUUUGCUUCCUGAUGAUGAGGAAGAAUACACCUUAAAACAAGUUAUCCCACUUCAAAAUUUCUAGGACGUACUUUCUUGUUGUAAGCAUGGCCAUUCUUUGUUGGUACAACUGCCCAUGGCAGACUACGGCCAUUUGCUUUUCAUCAAUCAGGGUUAACUAUUCCAGACGGGCUUUGACCCACUCACUGUCUUCAAUUUCAGCUUCAACAAUGAUUCGAAGAGAAGGGAUUUCAACUUCCGCAGAUAUUAUGGCUUCAGUGCCAUAAACCAAAAGGUAUGGGGUUGCUCUGACCGACGUGCGCACAGUAGUGCGAUACCCCAACAAUGCAAAAGGCAACUUUUCAUGCCAUUGCCUGGAACUUUGAGUCAUCUUUCUCAAAAUCUUUUUGAUGUUCUUGUUUGCUGCUUCGACGGCACCAUUGGCUUUAGGCCGAUAAGGCGUAGAGUUUUGAUGUGUUAUCUUGAAUUGUUCGCAUAUCUCCCCCAUCAAAUGACUAUUCAAGUUUGCAGAAUUGUCUAUGAUAAUAGUUGCAGGAAUGCCAAAACGGCAGAUAAGAUUGGAGUGCACGAAAUCUACCACAGCUAUCUUGGUGACAGAUUUGAGAGUGAUUGAUUCAACCCAUUUCGUGAAAUAGUCGAUGGCGACCAAUAUGAAUCUGUUCCCAUUUGAGGUUUUUGGCUCGAUUGGCCCAAUGACGUCCAUGCCCCAAGCAACAAAUGGCCAAGGCACUAACAUGGGAUGCAGUUCUGUUGGAGGUGCAUGAAUAAAAUCACCGUGCACUUGACACUGAUGAUAUUUUCGAACAAAACUGAAGCAGUCUUUUUCCAUGGUCAUCCAGUAAUAACCCGCUCGAAGGAUUUUCUUUGCCAAAACAUACUUGUUCAUGUGGGGUUCGCACACUCCUGCGUGCACUUCAUACAUGAUUCUUCCAGCCUCUUCGGCAUCAACACAUCUUAGCAAGUUGAGAUCCGGAGUCCUUUUGUACAAGACAUCGCAGCUCAAGAAGAAACCACUUGCGUGUCGUCUAAUGGUUCUCUUUUGGUCUCCACUGGCUUGCUCGGGGUAUUCUUUGGAUUUCAAAAAUCUUUUGAUGUCAUGAUACCAGGGCUAAACAUUUGGUUCCGCCUCAACCGUAUUACAGUAUUUGUGCCUUUCCCUGAUUUGUAUUUCCAAAGGAUCAAUGUGGGCAUUGCCUGGGUAUGGAAGCAUCGAGGCCAAAGUAGCAAGUGCAUCAGCUAAUUCAUUGUGACAGAGAGGGAUGUACCUGAACUCUAUUGACUUAAAUCGCUUGCCAAGAUCUUCCAUAUGUUGCCUAUAAGGAAUAAGCUUGGCAUCUCAGGUUUCCCAUUCUCCUUGAGCUUGUCGAAUAAUUAAAUCUGAGUCUCCCAUGAUUAUCAAUUCUUCGACAUCUUGGUCGAUUGCCAUGUUCAUACUCAUAAUGCAGGCUUCAUACUCGGCGGUGUUAUUUGUGCAAAAAAACUGAAGUCGGGCUGUGGCUAGAUAAUGUUGGCCGGUGGGUGAGAUCAAGAUUUCCCCAGUUCCAACGCCUUUUGCGUUUACCACCCCAUCAAAGAACAUUUUCCAAGCAUGUGUGUCUUUAGAUAUUGCCUCAACUGAAUUUACCUCUUCAUCUGGGAAGUAAGUGCUCAAAGGUUGGUAUUCAUCAUCAACCGGGUUCUCAGCCAAAUGAUCUACUAACACCUGGGCUUUCAUUGCCGUGCGAGUGACGUACACUAUGUCAAACUCCGUGACAAGAUCUGCCACUUUGCUAAUCUCCCAGUGGGCAUUGGUUUCUGAAAUAUGUAUUUUAAAGGAUCCAACCUGGUUAUGAGGUGAGUGGUGUAACCUUGCAAAUAAUGCCUCAGCUUCUGAGCGACCCAUGUUAAAGCGCAGCAAGUUCUUUCCAAUAAAGUGUACUUGGCUUCAUAACUGGUAAACUUCUUGCUCAGAUAGUAAAUGGCCUGUUCUUUCUUUCCGGUCACAUCAUGUUGCCCGAGGACAUAACCGAAAUAAUUUUCCAAGACUGUCAGAUACAAGAACAGAGGCCUCCCUGGCUCAGGUGGGACCAACACUGGCGGAUUCGACAGAUAUUCCUUGAUUUUAUCGAAAGCUUCUUGGCACUCAUUUGUCCAUUUGAUCGCCGCAUCUUUCUUUAACAACUUGAAUAUGGGUUCACACGUGGAGGUCAACUGGGCAAUGAACCGGCUGAUGUAGUUCAAUCUACCCAACAAACUCAUAACAUACUUCUUGGUUUUCGGAGGAGGCAAAUCCUGAAUGGACUUUAUCUUUGUUGGGUAUAACUCAAUGCCCCUUUGGCUGACUACGAAACCCAAGAGUUUGCCAGAUGGGACUCCAAAUGCGCACUUGGCAGGGUUUAGCUUCAAAUCAUAUUUGCGUAGCCGCUCAAAGAAUUUUCUCAAGUCCCGAACAUGGUCAUCCUGAGUUUUGGACUUGAUGAUCACAUCAUCCACAUACACCUCUAUCUCUUGGUGCAUUAUAUCAUGAAAAAUGGCAGUCAUGGCCCUCAUAUAGGUUGCCCCGGCGUUCUUCAGACCAAAUGUCAUGACCCUGUAACAGUAUGUGCCCCAGGGUGUGGUGAAAGCUGUCUUUUCUGCAUCUUCUUCAUCCAUCAACACCUCGUGAUAUCCUGCGUAACAAUCCACAAAGGAUUGUAUCUCAUAUUUGGCGUAGUUAUCAACAAGGAUGUGAAUGUUCGGCAAAGGGAAAUUGUCCUUGGGACUUGCUUUGUUUAAAUCUCUGUAAUCCACACACACCCGAGUCUUCCCAUCUUUCUUUGGCACUGGAACUACAUUAGCUAGCCAUGUGGUAUAUCGAACUACUCGGAUCACCCCCACUUUCAGUUGUUUCAUGACUUCUUCUUUGAUCUUAUCACUGAUGUUAGUUUUAAACUUUCUUUGCUUUUGCUGGAAAGGGGGGUAGUCAGGGUAAGUCGACAACUUAUGAACCACCAAAUCAACACUUAGUCCUGGCAUAUCGUCAUAUGACCAAGCAAACACAUCUUUGAACUCAAAUAGGAGUUGGAUUAAUGCAUCCUGGGAUUUUCCAUCUGUGUGAAUGCUUAUCUUAGUUUCCCUGAUUUCUUCAAAACUACCCAAAUUAACCGGCUCGGUAUCAUUUAAGUUCGACUUAGGUUUAUUCUCAAACUGCUCCAAUUCUCGAUUGAUUUCCCUAAAAGCCUCUUCUUUAUCGUAUUUCGGUUCUUGGUUCAUUAUUUCACAGUUAGACAGCGUGUUUGGAUCUGGGCAUGAAGUCUGCAAGCAUGUCAUGUUAUUUAAAGCUGCAUUAUUAGAACGGGACUCCCGCCUGAUUGGGAAUGGCGUAGCCUUCCUAUUCUGCAGUUUGGCAUUAGGUCCCAUAUACAAUACCUCAGCAGUGCUUGAGUCUUCCCCUGGUUGAACCAUGUGGGCUUCAUAUAGUAUCUUCCUCAUGGCCCCACAGAUUUCUUCGAUUUCUUCGGUCGUAAAGGCCUUAUCUUCCUCUUUCUCAUUGUAUUUCGGCUUGACAAAUGUUUUGUACAGAUGCGGCACCGGCUGAGGCAAGACCCAACCAUCACUCUUUCUAUCAUCUGCCCAUCUUACAUCAGUUGGAGUAGGUCAGAAGCCUACCCCAAAGAACUUUUCACUGGCGGUCAGGGUGAUAGGUUCAGCUAUUCCUUGCAACGAUUUCCCAAGCCCUUUCCCAGGUUUGUAGCCGUGCUUGAUCAUUUCUUUGGCUGCUAUGAUUGAUGCAUUAUAAAGGAAGGGUUGAGGGCAAGGUUUUCCUUCUUCGCACUGAUUAGCGACCACGAUUUCAAAGGCCUAAUAGACUAUGUGUUCACUCCCCUCCCUUGCUUUAAGACACGGGACUGAUGGGUCCCGAUAAAUUGAUUGCUCAUCUUCCCCGUGAACCACAAUCUCUUGAUCCUUGUGCUCGAACUUCACCAUCUGGUGAAGAGUAGAGGGUACAGCCCCUGCUGCAUGGAUCCACAGCCUCCCCAAAAGAAAGUUGUAGGAUGUGUCCAUGUCUAGAACCUGGAAGGUUAUUUCAAAGUCUACUGGGCCGAUAGUCAGAAUCAGAUCAAUCUCUCCAAUUGUGUCCCUUUUGAUACCAUCGAAGGCACGUACACAGACGUUGUUGGGUCGGUUUCUUUCGGUAUCGAUUUCCAUAUGCUGCAGAGUUGAGAGUGGGCAAAUAUCUACCCCAAAGCCUCCGUCCAACAUAACCCUUUUCACGUAGUACCCUUUGCAUUUGACUGUCAGGUGUAGGGCUUUAUUAUGUGCGGCCCCUUCUGGGGGCAAGUCAUUUUUGCUGAAGGAUAUCUGGUUGAUUGCGAAAAAUCUUUCGGCCAUUCUCUCCAACUGCUCUACAGAAGUCUCAACAGGCACAUAUGCUUCGUUAAGGUUCUUGAUCAAUACCUUUUGAUGUUCGGUGGAGUUCAUCAACAAAGAUAACAAGGAAACUUAUGCAAGAAAUUUUCAAAGUUGGUUGAUCACCUCAUAAUCCACCAUUUUCAUCUUUUGAAAGAAGGCCUCCGCUUCUUUGGAACUCACGAGCUUCUUAGAUGGGAAGCGCUUUCUAGCAUUGUUCACCUCUUCCAAAUUGAAAUACUUUUCAGUCAGGUUAGUUUCUUGAACUUCUCCUGAGAUUUCUUUGCCUUUGUAAGUCACCACUGAUUUGUUGUAGUUCCAGGGUACAUCGGUAGGAUCCGUCAUGGGCUUUUGUGGUGCGCAGCCAAUAACCACGGGCUCACUCAGCCUUGGUGGAUUAAUUGGCCCCCGCGUCACAUAAGCUCCCUUGGGCACAUACAUUUGGGUUGUCUUAUUCAGCUCGAAUCGCCUGGGAGGACUCAAAGUCAUCUACUUUUCUUUGCGGCCUCGAGGGACAUAGAGGACAGCAUCUUUGGGAGGCGCUGCCCUAGUUUCAAUUUCAACUUUCUUCUCUAACUUUGGAGGGGUGGUUUUGUUCUUUUUCUCCCCUUUGUCUUGCUUCAGGGCAGCCUUUGGUUUCUUUUCUACAUCAACGAUGGCAAUUAUGGCCUUCAACGCUGGGUCAAAUUCCUUGUACUCACAAAUCAUUCCAAUUAUCGGCCCGUUGUUGUGUGCCGGCAGUGGGUUGUUAGUCACAUUGGGAAUAUCUUCAUCUCUUAGCACUAUCUUCCUUUGUUCUAUCAAGUUCUCCACGGCUCUCUUCAGAGUCCAGCAAUCAUCCGUGUCCUGCCCUUCUUCCCCUGCAAGAUAGGCGCAUCGGUUACCGGCUCUGUAAGCGAGUGAUGCUGGGUUUUGCCUGGUUUGAGGAACAGGCUGUAGCAGACCCAUUUGAACAAGCUUUGGUAAUAGGCUGGAGUAGGGUUCGCCAAUUGGUGUAAAAUUUGGCCUCUUGGGGUGGUUCACGAGGGUGAAAAUUGUUUUGUGGAGGCCGGGGGUUGUAGUGGUUUUGGUAAGGAGGCUGGUUUCUAGAAAACGGAGCUUGGUUCCGGCUGGCUUGUUGUUGUGGCCAGACAUAAGGUUGAGCAUUCAUGACCGUAUAUGGCUGAGGAGCAUAGGCUACAUCUUGGUAGGGGUAAUAGUGUUGCGGGGUCCUUUCUGAGAAAAGGGAUCAUGGAAUAUGUUGUUUUCUUGCACCCGACGCUGCCAGGAAUGUUUCUUCCUUUUUCUUGCCCUUUACUACUCCUCCAGACCCACCCUGAAUGGCUUGGGAGGUAGCUCUGAUGGCGGAUUGGCUCAAGAUUUGCCCUGUUUUCAACCCAACCAUUUCUCCAAUUUUGAUGGCUUCGGCGAAUGGCUUACCCAUUGUGGACAUCAUGUUUUGAAAAUAAUCAGCCUCUUGGGCUUGGAGGAAGACUGUGACCAUUUCAAUCUCGUCCAUUGGAGGCUUUACCCUAGAGGCUUACUCACGCCAUUUGACAGUGUACUCUCGGAAGCUUUCCGAGGAUUUCUUCUUUAGAUUUGUCAGUGAGUUCCUAUUAGGGGCAAUAUCAAUGUUGUACUGAAACUGCCUGACGAAGUCCCGAGCAAGGUCAACCCAAAUAUGCCAAUGGGAUAUAUCUUGAUCCAUAUAUCAUUCAAACGCGAUUCCGACCAAGCUCUCUCCAAAGUAGGCCAUGAGGAGCUCCUCUUUUCCGCCCGUUCCUCGCAACUGGUUGCAAUAUCUUUUGAGGUGGGCAAUGGGAUCUCUAUGCCCGUCAUAUUUCUCAAAUUUCGGGGUUUUAAAUCCCAAUGGUAGAUGCACGUGAGGGAACAUACAUAAGUCGGCAUAGGAUACACUUUUUUGUCCACUCAAACCCUGUAUGUUUUUGAGACUCUACUCCAUGCUUUUCAUCUUUCUCGCUAUCUCCUCUUGCUCAGGGGUUUUGGUGGCUUUAUCUUGCCCUACGGUGAACUCAUACCGGGGUGGUUGGGAGUAAGUAUAGGUGGUAAACUGUGUAGGUUCCAGUGGGAAAGAUGGUGUUUUGAAGGUGAAGGAUGAUGGGUCAAAGCUGGACCUGAGCAGUGUAGGCUGUGCCGUAGCUGAGCAAGGCGGAGCAGUGAAGAUAUUCUAAGCUGCACCUGAAGCUAACACCUGGGGGCAAGCCUCAGAAGGUGUUCCCACAAAGUUGGCCGAAAUAGUAGGGUAUCCUAGUGGGGUAUUUGGAUAGUUUAUGGGGCUAUUGGAGGUCCCACUUGACCUGGGAAAAAGCUCGGGAAAUCCAGGGAUUGCACUUGGUGGUUCUCUUCCGUUUGCCCAAGCAUCCCACAUUUCCAUCAUGCGGAGACGCAGUAACCUGUUUUCCUUGACAACUGCCGAUUCUGAAGUUGGGAUGCCCGAGAUCGGACUCUCAUCCGCAAUAGGAACUGUUGGCAGAGUCAUUUCUGAAGACAUUUCAAUGCUUCCCUUCGACCUCGUGAAGUAUGGAUGUAAAGCUAGACUACCACAAAAUCAACCACCAUUCUAUAAAACCUGAGCUUAACAGUAGACAACAAACCGGUCAGUUUGAAGCAAAUAACACAUAGGUAAUCGCACGUUGGGGUGUGAUGCACCUAUACAGUCAAAUGUGUUUCUACGUGUUUCGCAACGGUUGCAUGUUUCAUCCCAGCUUUACUUAUUUUCCCCGAUUUUCUCUUUUUUCCACUUCCCAAUUUUCUUUUUUUUCUCGCUCUCUUUUCUCAUUUUUCCUUUGAUUUUCCUUCGGCUCUCUUUUCUUCCUUUUUGGGUUUUUCUUCUGGGUCUUUCUUUUCAUAUCCCUCUCUUAUUGGGGUUAUUUACAAAAUCAUGACAGGAUCUGAUAAGUAUUGCCUACGUAUCACGAUACCGCAUGAAUCAGAUCAUUACGUAGUUCAAGAAAAUAAAUGCAAAAAAUAAAGAAACAAAAAUUAUUAUUUUUUGGGAAUUUUCGAUUUUCAUUAAUAAAAACUCCUAAACUUUCUAUUACAAAAGACUUCAAACUACUCAUUUUCUUGGAAAAACUACAAACAGACUCAAAAUAAACCAAAAUACAGACUCGAUAAGUGAAAAAUCAGGAAUACAUUAAGGCUUCGACUCCUGGGCCCGUGGGACAUCAUUCGGUCUCGCCACGGGCCUAUAUGCGAGAUCCCCUUGAAGCCACUCCAAAUCACUCAUUAUCUGGCGGACAAAUGUCAUCACUGCAGCAAAGAAAGUGGUUCGAGUCAUGUCCUCACAUGCUUGGCAUUUCAUGACAAUGUAGUCGGCAAUGACUCUAACCCUCUCUCGAAUUCUACCCUUUUCCUGAAGCAGACGCCCGACCUGCUGAUUCUUGGCUUCUAAUACCUAAGUGUCGUGAUGGUUUUGAUUUUGUAAUUGUUGCAUUUCUUCCUCCAUCUGAGCCAUCAAAGCAUAACAAUGUUCCCUAUCAGCUUUAAAGUCCUUGGCCUGCUUGGCCGCCUCAUUCUCAAGGGUAGUUAGCUUUCUCUUCAGAUUGGUGAUUAUCCUUUCAUAUUUUCUUUUCAUUUGAUGCACAAACUGUGCCCGCCCUUCUGCAUUUUUUGCAAUUGGGCCCGGACUUUUGCUAGACUGGCUUCAGACUUUUCUAGGUCAUCUUGACACUCAAGUGCUUUCUUUCUCAAACUGCUUAUAAGCCUUUUGUCCGCUCAGCUUCUUUCCGGGUUUCUAGCAACUAUUCUCAUUUUCUGGAUUUGAGCUUUGAGGGCUUCGUUUUCCUAAGUUAGUUUUUUCUUUUCCCCUUCAUCUGCGGCAUCCUGGAUACUGUUGCCAAACUUGAGGUCCCUUAUUUGUCCCUCUAAUUUACUUAUUUUGGCCCUAUAACUUUCUUCUUUUGCCAACCAGACCCACUGCUCUUGCGAGUCGUUGGUGAAUUGUUGAACAUGAGCUCUCUUAGCAGGUCUCUCAGGAAUCUGGAACCUUUUACCGAACCAAAUAAUGUACUUGGGGUCUACUUCACCUCUAGCUAGAUCUCGCACCAUAGUCUUAGGUUCAAGAAAUCUACAUUCAUUCCACACUUGGCGAACUCUUCCUUCCGAAAAUACGGCUUUUGGGCCAAAUUCAAUGACAUGUUUACUCAAAUCUUCAUCAUGGGGGACGGUUUGAAAUCUGCCCAAUUGACGCAAAACCCUAUGAGGAGCAUAUGGUUGGAUGCUCUGGAUGCCCAUCCGGAGAAGAUAACAUACUUCGGUUGACAUGUACACAACCUUGGUGACAAGGAGCCAUCCGAACGCCCAUUCAAUUUUAUCAGAAGUCAAAGAGCUCAAACUGUGCCAACCAAGCCUCGGUACCCUCGGGAAAUCCAACAUCCACCACUCGGCUUUCAAAUUCUUCGAUGCAGUUCAAACCGGUCAUGCCAUAAUUCACAUACCCGGCCCGAUGGCAGAGAUGUUCCUGUAUCCACAACUAUAGUAAUAAGUUGCAACCUUGGAAGAACUUUCUGCCUUCUCGACAGAUGGUCAAAGCUCGGUAAAUUUCAGACAAAAUCAAGGGAACCAGAGUGCCAUUAGCUUUCUUGAUUGCGACGUCAACCAUUCCCACUAGGCCCAGUUCUAUGUUGUGAUCUUUUCACUGACAUAUUAUAACUCCCAAGAAGACUACUAUAAAGACCAAGCCUCGCCUUGACUCCCAUUUAUCUUUAUUUCCAGCAUGAGUCAAACCAGUAUUCGGUGCUUCAAAGCCUUGGGGGUUACCAUAAUGUUGGUACAAGAACUGGAAAGUGCAUGACCCUUCAGAUAAAUUCUUAUCCUGGAUAUCCCAGGUAAUACUCAACAUAUCCAGAAACUUGUGGGGAGAUACCGGCCUUGGUGACACCGGAUACCGACGUCUAAGAUUUCCAUUAAGGCCACCCGCGAUUUCUUUUAGUGUGGGUGUGAGCUCGAAAUCAGAAAAGCGGAACACAUUUCGAGUCGGAUCCCAAAAAGGUAUCAAGGCUUCAAUUAUGUCCAAUCUUGGCUUGUUGUUCAACAGUCCGACAAGACCACCCAAUACUUUAAUCACAGUUCCUCUACUGCAUUUUUCCAAAUCAUUCCACCACAUAUGAAGUUGUAAGGGGAUUUCCUCAAGAGCUGCGAAGGGUUCAUUUUCGUUUGUGCUCAUCCUGCACAUUUAUUAGGGUGAUUUAAUAACUCAUUUUUACUCAAGAAAAGAUUAACACACUUCUUCUUCUUUUUCAAAAGUUUUCAUUCCAAAAACAAAAAUUCGGCUUUGCAAAUACGGCCUUUCAGCACUUCGGGGAAGAAGACUUUAAAGUUGUACUCGACAACCGGUCAAAAAUUUGAAAAGGAGACCACAGGCAGUUGUUCUUGCAAAAACAGUUUUCAGGCGCCCUUUUGGGGACAUUCGGCUAUUUUAGACAAGAAUGACAUCACCUUACUUAUUCAGAGUAAAAAUAAUAAUAUUUUUGUUCUUUUUGGGCUAUUUUUGCAAAAGGGGAAGUUGGACCCGAUGAGGGUUGCCUACGUAUCCCACAUCCGGUGAGAAUCAAAUUGGCGUAGUUCGGGCAGAUUUGAAAAAAUGAAACAAAGCCAACUAUUUUGAAAAACAAAAUUCUCUUCUUUUUUUUUCCAGAAUUUCGGCAGAGUUUCAGUAUAUUUUUUGGACAUUGGUUUUUUCAAAAAACAAACAAUUAUCUCUCUUAGCCCUCACAUUGACUUUUUCUUUUUCCAACUUUUCUCAUAUUAUCCAUAAGCCGGUCAACAUGCAAAUACGAAGCAAAUAAAUGCACAAGUAGCAAGUAAGAUGUAUCAGGAUGGUCUUUUCAUUUCAGGUACACCUGUCCUAGACAAACCCAACCCCUGUGUUAAGUCUCCAAAGUCAAAUGCACGUGAUGCAAAUAAACGUUCCUACUAGGGAUCCGGCAUGAGGUUUUGUUAUAUUAGGUUUAAAACCUAGGUGUAUUGUUCUAGACCUGGCUUACCCGAGCGGACAACUCGAGCCGAGGGAGGGCAGCAUAUCGGGAAUACAGAAGCUUCACCGGCUUUGCAACUUGUCCGAACCUCGUUCUAAAAUGGGAUAAGACUCUAGAUAUAAGAGAAGUCACACGAAGUGCAUCCUUCUCCAUGAUUUAGAAGAAACGGAGAGAGGAAGGGUUUCGUAGCAGUGUAUAUACAAUUCACAAAAUAUCAAAGCGGAAAAAGCAUUUAGCACAUUAGGCUCAAACAUGUACAAAAACCAGAUAAUAGAUAAAGCCGACUACAAUAGCUAUUCUAAGCUCGAAUUCUUAAACCCUGAACCAGAGUUCUGGGUUCCAGAUGAUCCCCAGCGGAGUCGUCAAAGCUGUCACACCUCCUUUUUUACACACCCGAAGGUAGUAUAAGGGAGUUUUUUCACUUUAAGUGACAUUAUUCGAAAAGGGAUUAAUUAUUCAUUUUUAUUCAGAGUCGCCACUUGGGAUAGUUUAUUUGGUGUCCCAAGUCACCGGUUUAUUUUGAAUCCCAAAUCGAGGAAAAUUUCGACUUUCCUUUUGAAGUCUGCGAACCAGAAAUUCUGAAUAAGGAAUUCUGUUAACCCAGGGGAAGGUGUUAGGUAUCCCCGGAUUCCGUGGUUCUAGGGUCGCUUAAACUAUCAUAAUUGGCCUAUUAUCUGAUUUUAAUACAUGUUUUAGCCUAUGGUAUAUUUUAACUUAUUAAGCCGCUUUUAAUUAUUUUUUAAGAAAAAUUUCAACGUCAUCUAAAACACGCCUUUGGACCACGCCACAUGAAAUGCACCCGUAGUCCGCGACACAUUUUAUUUAAUGUUGUUGAGGUUUGGAUUUAGGUCACAUGAAAUGCACACCCGAGUUUAAGGAAAUUAAUUUAAAUUACGCGCCUAAAGCAACUACGUACUUUCAACUUUACGAGGGCCAUGGAAAAUUUGACUAAAUGGCAUGCCUCAUUUUCUAAGGAUUAAAAUUAAUUAAAUAAGGGUCAUGCAUUUUUGAAGUUUUGUUUGGCACGGCACGCCUCGAUUCCAAUUUCUAAAGGGGGCUUGAACUAAACUUUGGAGGGCCAUAAACUAUGUCUUACCUAAUAUGGCACGCCUCCAAUCUACUUUUAAGAGCCCAAUUAAUUAACUAAGAAAGGUUUAAUGUAAUUCUAAUUAUUAUUAUUUUUACUAAAGGUUUGACCCUACUUAUCAAUUAACAAGCAUCAUAUUAAAAAACCAAUUAUCUCAAAGGAAAAAAAAGGGCUUCAACAAACAGCAACUGAACGGACCCGUUUACAAAUACCUUCAGGCUUGGGCCUGAACGAGCCCAAUUCUUAAUAAGGAAUGACGUCCAAGGAUUCGAAACAAACAAACGAGUCUGAGAUGGAAUAUUCAUCAUCUGGGCCAACUUUAAGCCCAACUUUUAGAACCAAAUCGAUGGUACAAAAUCAAUUAGAAUGCAGAUACAACAAAACUAUAUGAAACAUACCCUUGAAUUAACAUUUUUACUUUUGCAUUUUAACUAUUUAAACACAAAUCGACUAGCUGAACAUUCUGAAUUUCAAAUACCAAUUCUAACUUAAACAUGUUCAUAUGCAGACCAAAAGUAAAUCAGUGCAUGCCUUUACUUUUAAAAUAACCUAGACCAUUUCCUUUUCUUUUAACGUGACUUUAUACUAACUACUACUUAUGAAACAAUCAGUUGCCCAUUGCACGAACAUAGCACUAUGUUAUAACCUCCAAAUGGAUUACAUAACAGUAAAAGAUCUAAUACAACCUACCCUACUUAAUAUGAUUGAACACAACAUCUAACUAUUGAUUCGACUAACAAGUUUUCAUCAAGUUUUUAUGACAGUCCAAGUUCAGAUACAAUAAUAAAAGUUCAAUUGUUAUAAAACCAACAUCUAGAUACAAGAUUCUUGACAGAAAAUUGAUCUCCCACCAAGGUACAAACCAAAUAGAGUUUUCAGAAGAGUAUUGUCAACAACCAACGAAAUACCAUGCACCAAAAUAAAUUAGAACAAAAAGGAUUCAGGGAAAAGGAAAGAAGGUAAAGCUAAAAUAUGAACAAAUGGUUUGAUGCUAUGCUUCAAACUUCUAUUUUUCAUUUCAUUCUUCAAUCCGUGCCUUAUAUUAAAUAGGAUUCAGGAACAUGUACCUGAUUAUAAUAAAGCAAAACUAGAAAAUCAAACUUGAGGUUAGGAGGAAACAUCAGCAGGAGAAAUCAGUUCAGAUCCCAGCAAUGAAAUAGUAAACCAAGCAGCAAAACUCAAACCAAACUUUUAAAGAUCCAAAACUCAAUCCAUUUCAACCCAGGUGCAAGACUUUGUCAUUUUCAGUAGCUUUAACUAAGCAAUGAAGAUCAGAAACCAAAAACCAAGCAAAAUUUGAGCAGUUUUCAACAAGGAAAUGCAGGGAAUUCAGGAUAUUUCAGAGUUUUCAGCCCUUUCAAUUUUUCAGGAUUUUUAUCUCUAAAAUCUGUCUUGCUAGUAAAGUAAAGAUGCCUUUAUAGGCAAGGUUUUAGGGCAGCAAUGCUGAAAUCAUUUUUGCAUUUUAAACCUUUUGUAUUUUUAUUUUUGCUCACAUACCCUUAGUGUAAAAAUCAGACUUUCACUUAGGUUCCAAUGACACCUUCCUAACAGCUUCCUAAUUCAGUUACUGAGAUUCCUUCCACCUACAAUUCCUAAACUACCCCUUUAAGUCCUGUUAAUUACCCCAGAAAUCUAAAUGAGUCAACAGUCAAAUGGACCCAAUGGUUUAAAUCAAAAAUCCUAAGCUUGCAGGACUAGAUUGAAUCUGUUCAUGGGCUUCUGGUUCCAAAACCCAUAUAGAAUCAAUUGGCUAGGCAGAAUUGCCCAAGAGAAAAAUCGGAUCUCUUCCCUUUGAAAACCAGAAAAAUGGAAUAAUACAAAGAAACAGAGAAAUUAAAACGACAUGCACGAACAAACUCGAUUUUAAAACUAAUUUAAAACGAGAACAAAACGGACAAGAUGAGGUAAGAGGAGAUGGAGACUAGAACUUAAAACAAACAAAAUAAAGAACAGAAGAAAGAUGAAAGAGAGGAUAAGGACUGAAGAAUACAUAAACCAAGUAGAAAACGGCUUGAAAGUCUUCAAAAGAAACUUUGAUUUUUGAAAGAAAUAGGCUUUAAUCAUUUGUUCUCAAGCGAAAACACACGAAUAAAGCCGAUUUUGGUCUUAAACCUUCGUUAAACUUCACUGAUUUGGGUUUUGGGAUUUUAGAGUUCCAACCUUUGAUUUAGAAUUCGACAAGUCCUGUGAUGAUUCGAAGGAAAGGGGUGUCGGAUUUGGUAUGAGGAAGCCACGAGGGUUUUGGGGUGUGGAUUUGAGGUGGUUUAGAGGUGGCGCCACCGGCCCAAGGCGGUGGACAACCAAGGCGGCACUAGGGUUUUCUAUUUUGGGUCCCUGAAGAAGGUGGGUUGAGAGAGAUGAGACGGGGGUACAGGGCGUUUGGACAGUUAUAUAUCAGAGGGGACUCAGUUCUGGACUGUCCGAUCAAGUGAGAUCGACGGUCCUGAUUUAAAGGUGUGAAACGGCGUCGUUUGGAUCUCUGGUGGGGCAGGCCGAUUUUUAGAACGGGUUUUGGGCCGGCUCUGGUUGGGUUUGGACGGGUACUGGGUAUUAAACAAUUGGGCUUGGAGAAUUUAAAAGGACUUGGCCCAAAUCAGACUUACCUCGUUUGUUUUUCCUUUUUCUUUCAAUUUCAAAAUUAUUUUAAUUCCUUUUCUUUUACAAAAAUAAAGAUAAAAACCUAACUUAACUCCUAACACAAAUUAUCCAACCAAAUUAAAUUAUUAACACAAAUAAUUAAAUAACAAAUUAAAAGAAAAAACUACCAAAAUUCAAACUCAAAAAUUAAAAAUACAAAAAGAGUUAUUUUGUGAUUUUUUUCAUUUUUGUACAACAAGCUAAUUUACUAAUUAAUCUAAAAAUAUAAAAUUAAAUCCUAAAUGCAAAUGCAAUGUAUUUUUUGUAUUUUUAUGAAUUAAAAAUAUAAUUAAACAUGCACACAAAGAAUGCAAAUAAUUAGAAAUUUCUACAAUAAUUCCUAAAAUAAUAAAUAAUCAAAAGAAAAAAAAAAUUGAAUUUUGGAAUUUUUUAGGAGUAAUUCAGGUGAGGCAAAAAUCACGUGCUAUAUAUAUAUAUCAAGCAUUAAAUUAGAUAAUAAGUAAUAGAAUAAAAAUAAUUCAAAUGCAUAUACUUAAAAUAAAUUUCAACAAAGAAACAUACUUUGUGUACUGUCUAUAGUAAUAAAGCAUUGUUGGUUCAAGAGUUCACUAGCAAAGACCUCUACAAAAUUAAAUGUAUUCAUAUUUAUAGAAUCAAUAAAAAUAAACAUCCCAAUUGUUCAAAAGGUCUUCACCAUUCACUUUAAUGAAUCAAAUUGAUUUGUGACAACCAUAUCCAAUUGCGUCACCCGUAUUUUCCUACACAUUCAAAAUGAAAUUAAAAAUUAGGAAGAAACAUAUAUAUAGUAUACACUGGUUAGAAAGCAUGAUUUUGUAAGUUAAGAUUGAGGUAGUUUUUGGAAUUGGGAAAUAUAAAUACCUUUUCAAGACUUGGGGCGUGAGUUGAGGCAGAAGAAUGUGGCAGAUUUUGGCCUCUUAUAGCUCGUGCACUACUUGCAUCAACUGGUGAAGGAAUAUUAGAUCCAACACACCCUUGUAUAUCAUUAAAAUCCAGUCCAGGGUUGUUUUUCACCAAUUGACUAAAAAAAUAUCGCAUUUCUUCUCUCAUCAUUUCCUUCAUUUCUUCCUUCAGAGAAGUUAUUUCAUUGGCAUGCUUUUGUUUAAGCUUGGUGAUUUCUUCAUCUUUUUUCAGAGAGCUUGUCGUCACCGAUCUAUCAUAGCAUCUAACCCGACCAGGCUGCUCCUUUCCAAAUACAGCCCUAAAUAAAUCAUCUGUUGUUUCUUCGGAACUUUGACGAUUCUGAAGUUCAGACUGUCGAAAAAAUAUUAUUGUACAUCACUUACAAGUCAAGAUAGAACAAACACUAAAAUAACUUUCAACAAGUCAAGUUAGAUUAAAAAAAGUUUAGCAGACCUCAAAAUUUAGCCAAGAAUGUCAAUAGAGUUUUCAGCGACAAGGAUCGUAACCAAUUUAAUAUGAAGUUUCAAACAAACAUUAGUUAAACACACCAACAAUCUACAUAUAUUUAAAUGGGGAAAGAGCUUUUUUUUCAUUGUUAAAAUGACAGUGUCAAAGAGCAAUAAGAAAAAGCAACAAUGUUACAUAGCAGUGCCAUCUCAAAUAAUAAAUUCACUUUCUUCUUCAGGACUUCAGUCUCUGUUACUUUCUCCCAAGAAAAAGAGUCCAUUUUUUUCAGUAAAGCUCAGGCUUUUGUUCAAUAAUCCAAAAUUCUGGGUUUUGUUUCUUUUUGCUUUUGGUUUUGUUGGUAUGUUAAAGAUGUGGUUUAAUUUUGAAACUUUAGUUCCUUUUACACCAAACCCAUGUGAGAUUUUUCAAGAAAAGAGCUCAUUCUCAAAUGAAAAACAAGUUUCUCAGCUCAGUAUUGGAGCUUUAAAUGUAGGGGAAAAAGAAGAUGAAGGGGAUGAAAAGAGUGAGUUUUGGCAACAACCUGAUGGGUUAGGUUAUAGGCCUUGUUUGGAUUUCAGUGCAGAGUAUAGGAAAACAAGUAUAGAUAUUGUAAAAGGAAGGAAAAAAUAUUUAAUGGUGGUGGUUUCUGAUGGAAUGAAUCAGCAAAGAAAUCAGAUUGUGGAUUAUGUGGUAAUUGCUAGGAUUCUUGGUGCUGCUCUUGUUGUUCCUAUUUUGCAAGUUAAUGUCAUUUGGGGUGAUGAAAAGUUUGUUCUUUUUCUAUUUUUGAACCAUUUUUCUUUGUUUUCCAGCUCAAAUGUUUUAUUUUUUUGGUCAGUCAUUCAUUCAGUUGACAAAAUGUUUAUUUCCCUGCCUAAUUCUCUGAACUUAGGCAAUUUUUUUAAAAAAACUUCAAUUAUUUGGUAGAAAACUGAUUAUUUCCAUAGAGUGACAUUAUGUUUGGUCUAACUUAGAUUUUUAUGCUAUUCUGGGACGUUUUUUAUUUCUUAACGUAUGUUUUAUGUUUCUUUUUGGUGUUUGUUUGCAGUGAGUUCUCUGAGAUAUUUGACUUGGAUCAUUUUAAGGAAGUAUUAGCAAAUGAUGUAAGAAUAGUUUCAUCACUUCUAUCUACACAUGUGAUGAGUAGUACCAGUGGAGGAGUCAAGGACUCCUCUCCAAAAGAAACUACAGAUAUGUGUAUGGACUUCCUUCAGUUAAAGAAACACAUUUAUUAAAAAGAUAAAAAUACAAUAACAAGACUUAACUUGCAGCAUGACUUACUAUUGCAACUUGAGUAUCUGUAUGAACUUCCUUCCCUUUCUUUAUACGAAUUGUAAUAAACAUUUCAGACUUUGAUGGUUCCUCGUUGUUCUCUUUGGUUGUACACUACAAAUUACAUCAAAGAAGAUAUAAAAAAGAUAUCACUUUGCUCCAACAAAGUACAAAAAGAAAUAAAAGUAAGAUUACAAAGUGUCAACUAAAUAUUACCAAUGCCACACGCACUCUUGCAAAAUUAAUAGGUCCCAUUCGAUGCCUCCACUUUUGUUUUUUCCUGUUUUCAGAAUUCAUUUGGCACAUAACCUAACAACAAAGGAAGCAUAUUAAUUAAUAAAUCAAAAUGGAAAAAUAUAUACUGCAACAAUAGGUUGAAAAUGUAAAAAUGCAUGGUUUAAUCUUACUUGGACAUCUUCGUCAUCCCAAUACUCAAUCAAUUGACGGAAUUGAACUUCAGGUAUCUCAUUGAGACGAUUUUGUAACAUUUGUUCAAUAGUAGCAUUUUUAUCAAAAUAUUUCUUCUUAAUAUUCCUCUUGUAUCGCUUCCAAGCAUCACGAAGACCAGUCAUUACCCACUUCUCUCCUUCAGCUGAAANNNNNNNNNNNNNNNNNNNNNNNNNAUUUUUUUCUUAGUAGGAAAAAUAUAAAAAAUAUAUAAUUGAAAAAUUGAUUAUUCUUACAUUGACAUUCCACAUUUGUCGCCUAAUAUCCUUUGACACAACAUGCUAACUAGUAUUCACCAAGGGUAUAAAUGUUGGAUUCCUUGCAAUUGUUCCUAAAAAGUUGGUCAAAUCAGAUACUCUCUUGUCAGUUGGUCCAACUGCUUGUCCUUUAUCAAAUGUCACCUCCUCUCUUUCUUCAAAACUUCUUGCAUGAAUAUUCUUGCAUGUUGUGUUUCCUCGAACUCUUUUCUUCUCUGAUGUCCCUAGAUUGAUAUAACAAGCAAGACAUAAGAAGAAAAAAUCAAAAUAUGUAAAAUAAUUAUAAGGUUUAAGACAUACCACCUGCAGCACCAUCGAUGUCCAUAUCCUCAUCUCCAAUAAAUUCAUCGUCACCAACUUCAUCUUGUGCAACAAAAUUAUCCAAUUCUAUUUCACGCUCAUCAAUAAUAGGAGAGGACAUUAAUCUAACUUCAUUUUCUGGGUGAUUAUCAGGAUGUUUUUCACCAUCGACUUGUAUCCCAUAUUUUUUUAGAAAUUGAUUAACACUCGUCGAUAGUAGGACUGAGUUUGUCUUUACCUUUUGGCAAUUUUGUAGCUCUUGAAUAUCAAGUUGUUUCUCUCCUUCACCUUGUGUUCUUCUAAGCAUAUGUAAAGUGUUAGGAUCUACCUUUGCAGAUGAUUGGAUCAUGGAUGUGGGCACAGGUAAUUUACUCAUUCCUUGCUUUUGAAUGGGCUCCUCUAAUUGAAUUGACCUUUGUUUAAUUUGUCCUUUACUUGAAAUAUUAUAUGAAGUGUUCAGAUCUUCCCUUGAAAACGAUUGGAUUGAUUCGUACACCGGUAAUCUAUUCCUUCCUAACUUUUGAACUGACACGUCGGAUUGAGUUAACCUCUGUCUACUUUGUCCUUCUAAUGUUGCAGGCAUAUAAUUCUUCCUUUUAACUCCAAAUAAUGCAUGCUCUUUAGCAGCUUUAUCGUUGCGAUCACCUGCAAUACCUUAGUAAAUCCAUCCAUUCCUUGAAUGGAAUAUUUGAAUUCUUAAAAAUAAAAUUUAUUAGAUCUUCAAAUAUAUAAUCAUUUAAGUAUUGACUAUAAAAUAAAUCCGAAACGUCAAGAGUGAAUUUGAAAACUAAUGCAUUAUAAACCAAUAAGAUUUUCUUACCUAGUCAUGACACUUAUGCUAAGCAAACCCAACUUCAAGUCCACCACAGAUCUACCUGAGCAUGACCAAUCUUCUUGGAGAAAAGGAGUAAAAUUAAUAGGAUCCACAGAACAACGACAACAAGUAAUAAAACUAUAGUCUACUUUUAUUAGCACCCACCCCUCCACAAUUUCAGAAAAGAAGGCUAUUAGUUUAGCACCAACAUCAAAUUGUUAAAAACACCUAAAAUAAAAGAGAAAGAAAAAUCACUUUAAUAACCUCUCCCUCCGCAAAAAAGCUCUCGCUUGCAAAUUGACUGGAAAACAAUAAAACGCACAGAAAGAUAAAAAUCUUAGCAGCCUGGUUGGGCUUAAUCACUUAAAUGUGUUUCAAAAAUAUCAAAAUGUAUGAAACUCACUUGCACAUUGACAAUACUUCUAAUGGGAAAAAAUAAUACACCAUCUAUUUUGUGCAAAUCAAUAUCCAUAACCCAACUAGUAGGACACCACUUGCAUCUGCUCUCAGUGUUAAUAAAAUCUACAAGAGCAUAUAUACUUUCAUGUUCUUCCAAGUGUCACAUGCGACUCAGAAAAUCUCAAUGCAAAAUCAGUCACAUUUAACAAAGAUAGAUAAAUAGGACGCAUAAAAAAUCAAGGUAAACAACACUGGAGCUUACAGAUGUCCCUGAGUAUUUUAAUCUCAAAAUGUUAACAACAAUUCACCUCUUAAACCAACUUACAACAAUUCUCAGAGAGCCAAAAGAGUUCCAAAAAAAUGGGGACAUUAAGACCAUUAAACGGUAGCUAAUAUCCACUGUAGAUUGCAAGAAUUAACUUUAAAGAGAAGCUAGUAUAUCUCAGUAAAUGACAGAUAGAAUUACGUACCUGCUAUUCUAAAUACAUUACAAGAAGGCUGAUAACAAUUAAGAUAAUUAUGGGGCAAACAAUUACAUGAUUAUUGGGAUACAAUAAACCAUAAAAGAUUGUUAUUGAGAAAUAUAGAAGUUUGUCAUUGAGAAACCAUAUUGUUUCUCACUCUAUCUCCAUAAUAGCUGGGAAUGCUUGCACCAAAUUAAUUAAAUUUUUUACUAGUUAGAAAUUAGUUAGUUGUUUAUGAACUGAUGCUAGAUUAAAAUUAGAGAGAUAUCAUAAUGCUUAUUACCAGCAUAACAAGGCUUGCCUUAUGCUAUAAGGUGAAUAUUAUAACUCUUCAAGAUACCCCACUUUCACCAUACAAAGCAGACGUAACUAUAUUAAAUUUCAAUUCAGAUGUUCUUUAGUUUUUUUUAUGUAAACGAUAAAAACUAUAAGCCCAAUAAUCAAAAUAGAAAAAGAGUAAAACUUUGAGUAUAAAAUAAAGACUAUACAAAGCCCAGUAAUUAUACAAAAACAUAUUACUUCUAUCAACCCCAUUGAUAAGUGUGAGCACGUGAUUUUUGCCUCGCAUGAAUUACUCCUACAGAAUUCCCAAAAUUAGGAUUUUUCUUUUAAUUAUUUGAUCUUUAGGAAUUAUUGCAUGAUUUUUGUGUUUGUUUGCAUUUUUGUGUGCAUGAUUAAUUUAUUUAAUGCAUAAAAAUACAAGAAUAUGUUGCAUCUGCACUUAGGGUCCUAUUUUAUAUUUUUAGGCUAAUUAGUUAAUCAAGGUUAUAAAAAAUUGAAAGAAAAUGACAGAAAUAGUUCAUUUUGCAUUUUUAACUUUUUAAUUUUCGAAUUUUUUUUAGCUUUCUCCUAAUUUAGGACUUAAUUAAAUUUUUGGGAAGUAAUUAGUUUAUGAAUUUAGCUGUAGAAUUUAAAUCAGAUUUUUGUUUAAUUUUGUAAUUAAUAAAUUUGAAAAUGAAAAAAGAGAGAAGGAAGAAGAGCCUUUAAUAAAGAAGCCAUUUUUGGGCCAUUUCAGAUUAAAUUCCCCAAGCCCAAAUAAUUUUGCCUUAAACCCGGGUAAAAUCAAGCCCAAACCCGCCUGUAAACCGGUUCAGCACUUCCCCCAUCCAAACGACCCCGUUUGUUUAAGGUUGAUCAGGACCGUCAAGGUUCCAAGAUCCAACGGCCGAGAACUAGGGUAUCCUAAAUAUAUUAAUGUCCGAAAAUGUCCCCCCUACCCUCUCACUCAUUUUUCACAACCCCUUCAGUCUCUCAUGUAACACCAUCGCCUGCCGCCUGUCGGAAUCGCCCACGGCGGCGGCCGGCAUCCAAUCGCCAUGAAAUUAACACCAAAUAUUCUCCUCACCCCCUCUUUCUAAAUUCCCGUUCACUUUCCCUCAAAUCCGGCCUGAGCUCCUCGAAUAUCAGAUUAAAACUCGGAACCCUAGCGUCGCCAUAGUUUCUCCGGUGGCGGCGUCACCACCAAUCGACCCCAAAUUAACACCAAAGAACCCUCAAGUCUUCCUCAUCCCAAAUCCGUCUCUCUUUUCUUUCGAAUCACCCUAGAACUGCUCGAAUUUCAAAUCAGAGCAAACCCCUAAUUUCCAAAAGGUCCCCUGUUCGAUUUUGUUUGAAGAUUUGGGUCCAUUUCGAUGUUAUUCGUAUGUUCUUAUUAAGAACACACGAUUAAUAUCGUAGUGGGCCAGAAAAUCCGAAGAAAUUGAAGAUUCAGACUCCUUCCUUCAUUCGUUUGAGUUUCAGUAGGUAUUUUCUUUUUUUCUCUUUCUUUUGGUUUAAUUUAGCUUUUAUUUUUCUCUACAUCUGUUCUUCUCCUGGUUUUCUUUUUCAUUUUUUCUUUAGUUUUCCAAAAACUUGCACUUGUUUUUUGUUAUUAGUUUUGCAUGUUUAGUAUCGUUAGUUUGUUAAUUAACUGAGUCUACUAAUUUAGUUAAUUAUUAAAGUUUUAGUUUAGAUUUUAAUGAUUGUCCGGUUUGCAUGUUUCUUGUACUUCAGAUUUUAAUUAGACUAGUGGUAGUUUGGAUGUUUGGAUCACUAACCCAUUUAGAAGAGAAGGGCAGGCCCAAUUGUGCAAUUGGACCAUAGGGUCAACUUGACCCAUAACCCAUUUGAGGUUCAGGGGUAAAUUCAGGGUAACUAAGGGGUAAUUGGGGUAGUUCACUUAGGAAUCUUGCAAUAACUGCUUAGGAAGCUUCUUAGAAGCUGAAAAACAGACUUGCUUGGCAAGCAAGUCAAUAGUUUAGGGACUAAGUAACAAAAAAGAAAAUUCACAAAGGGCUCAAAAUGCAAAACCUAGCCUAUUACUGCUGCCCUAGUAGCUUGCCUAUAAAGGCAUUGCUAACAAGAGCUGAAAAGAAGGGGAGAAAGAGAUAGAAAUUCUGAAAAAAUCAUAAACAGCUAAAAAAAAUUGAAAAAUCUACUGUUUCAUUGAGUUCCUUUUGUGAUUUCUUAAGUUUUCAAUCUCUGAAGAUGAUUUCUGAUCUUUUUUGAGCUGAAAUAAUCUGAGUUUGGUUGGUUUUCAAAGUUCGGUUCAAAGUUUGAUUUGUUCUUUGGGUUGCUGCAUUUCAUUUGUUACCUUGGCUGGUUCAAAGUUUGGUUUAAAGACUGUUUCCACUGGUUAUUUCUGCUGCUGACACUGCUCCGUUGCUGAUUCCCUUCCUUUCCUCUUAUUUUUGCUUUCCCAUGUACCUUCUUAGCUUAUGACUGAGGAAUGAUGUUUGAACAUGUAAUAGAGUCGAAGUUUUGUUAAAUGAAGACUGCAUCCAAAGCUGAUUUUCCCCUGUUUCUCUACUAUUUUCCAUGUUCUGUAAUUAGUCUUUGAAUUAUAAAUGUUAAUAAGGUUCUCUUUUCUCUCAAAAUGGUGUACGUGAAAGUAACCUGCAAUAGUAUGUUGCAUUUGUACUUAAUUAUGGACUGAGAUUGAUGUGUUCAAAUGGUUGAAAAUGUUCUGUUUCUUUUAAUUCCAUGGUCAUGAGUUAGAAGCAUGUGGAUGUAGAUCAUAAGUCUGUUGGAUUUGGUUUCAUUGAUAUCCUAGUAAUCAUGUUUAAGAUUUGCCUCUAUAUUGCUUGAAACUUGAUUUAGGUCCUUUUCUUGUGAGACAUUAUGAGAUCUCUUUUUUUAAGAAUAAUUGAGUUUCAAAUGGAAAUUUGGUAUGAUUUUGGUCUUUUGAAAAUCUCCCAAAAAAGUUAGUUUGAACCACUUGAUUUUAUCCAAGUGUGUUGAAUCAUAAUCUAGAACUAGUUAUGAUUAGCAAUGCACCCUUAGUACUCUUCUGCAUUUGUUUUGACCAAGAGUAUAAUAUUUAGCUGUAUUGAAAAGUGUUGAUGCGAUUUGUGGGGUUCAUGUAAAGGGGGAAUUUAAUUGUUAGUCCGGAUAGUGUUAUUGUUGGAAGUUUAAUUUAGCAUGAUUGGUUUGUUGUAAGAUUUUAGUUUACAAUGCUUAUAUGAUCAUCCUUGUUUAGAGUAGUUAAAUCAGAAGUUCAAUUGGAAAUUUGUGUGUUUCCAUUCCCCUGCAGGGACUCGAUCUUGAGUCCCAGCAUCAGUUUUAUAUCCAAAUGAGACUCUCCUUUGGGUUUCGUUUUAGGUCGUUAGUGGUUUCUGUGGCAUUUGCAGUCCAUUUCAGUUGUUGGGUUCGUUAGGCCCAAGCUCAGAAUUAGUUGUGAAUUGGAUUUUCGAGUCCAAUGCCCUUUAAUUCAAUGAUCGUUAAUUAGUCAGCAGGCCAGAAUGUUUAGUUAAAAUAAGUAGAAGUUCUUCGAUUUUUCCUUAAAUAAGUAAUUGGGCUCUUUUUAAUUAGACUGGAGGUGAGCCAUAUUAGAUAAUACAAAUAGUCUAUGGCCCUCCAAACUUUAGUUUGAGUACCCCUUUAAAUGAAAUUGAGGUGCGCCGCUCUAAAUAAAAUCUUAAAUGCGUGGCGCUUGAUUGAUUUUUUUAAAAAAAUAUUUUUAGAACUCGAGGCGCGCCAUUUAGCAAAUUUUCUAUGGCCCUCGCAAAGUUUAAGACACGUAGUUGCUUUAGGCGCGUUAUUUUAAUAACACUACCUUCCUGAACUCGGGUGUGCAUUUCAUGUGACCCAAAUCCAAAUCUCAACAACGUUGAAUAAGAUGUGUUUCGGAUUGCGGGUGCAUUUUAUGUGGCGCAAUCCAAAAACAUGUUUUAAACGACGUUAAAUCUUUUUUAAAAUAAUCAAAAACGGCUAAUAAGUUAAAAAUGUACCAUAGGCUAAAACAUGUAAUAAAACAGAUAAUAGACCAAUUAUAAUAGUUUAAGCGACCGUGCUAGAACCACAAAAUUCGGGGGUGCCUAACACCUUCCCCCGGGUUAACAGAAUUCCUUAUCUAGAAUUUCUGGUUCGCAGACUUCACAAGGAAAGCCGAAUUUUCCUCGAUUUGUGAUUCAAAAUAAACCGAUGACUUGGGACACCAAAUAAACUAUCCCGAGUGGCGACUCUGAAUAAAAAUAAAUAAUUAAUCUCAUUUCGAAUAAUGUCACUUAAAUUGGAAAAACUCCCUUAUACCCUCUCGGGUGUGUAAAAAGAAGGUGUGACAAUAAGAAACUAGACAAACUAAAGCUUUAACUGUGAGAUCGAAGACUAUACAAAAAUAUCAAAAAUUAAACAAAAAAUGUUACUUUUAUUUUAGCCCAAGAAUCUGAAAUUAGUAAAAAAUUAAAAACUUUAACAACAACAACAACAAAUCUAGUAUGAUCCCAACAGGUGGGGUCUGGUGAGGGUAGUAUGUACGCAGACCUUACCCCUACCUAAUGUAGGUAGAGGGGUUGUUUCCAAUAGACCCUCGGCUCAGGAGUUGCUUUAGAGUGAUAAUGACAUAAAAGCAGCCCCAAGAAGCUAUUAGAUUUCAAACAACUACGCGUGACAAGAUAAAUUCUUCCAUGUUUUUUUAUCUGUUUACUUCCCAGAGAGUUGCUUGUAAAAAAAAAACCAAAUACAAAGAGCUCUACCAAGAUAAGAAAGUAGUACUUCCCAGAGAAAAACAAAAUCAUCCCAAGAAGAGUUCGAUAGCACAAUGAAAUCACAUUUCAAGGAUUCAGAUUCAUGCAAUAACCAACAACAACAACAACAACAACAACAACCCAGUAUAAUCCCACAAGUGGGAUCUGGGGAGGGUAAUAUGUACGCAGACCUUACCCCUACCCCGAAGGGUAGAGAGGCUGUUUCCAGGAGACCCUCGACUCAAAAGCAACAGAAGCCGAUAUAUUAGUACCAUAAAAAUGCAUAAUAAAAAUGCAUAAUAAAAAUGCAUAAUAAAAUAACAGCAAUACAAUAGAUAUGAAAUACAGAAUACGAAAUACGAAAUACGAAAAAGAUGGCUGGUAUAGUAAAACUAGCAGGUAAAGCCCUGCAUCAAUAGACGACCAAUGACAUUCUUAGUCCAACUCCUAACUGGCUAGUCUCACUCUAUUGUGCUGUAGAAAUAUUCACAACUCUCCCCUAACCUACAACCUUAAUACUCGACCUCCAUAAUUCCCUGUCAAGGGCCAUGUCCUCAGUAAUCUUAAGUCGCGCCAUGUCCUGUCUGAUCACCUCUCCCCAAUACUUCUUAGGUCGUCCUCUACCUCUCCGCGUGCCCACUACAGUCAGUCGCUCACACCUCCUCACCGGUGCAUCAGUGCUCCUCCUCUGAAUGUGCCCGAACCAUCUGAGUCUUGCUUCCCGCAUCUUGUCCUCCAUGGAUGCCACGCCCACCUUCUCUCGAAUAUCUUCAUUCCUAAUCUUAUCCAUUCUUGUAUGCCCGCACAUCCACCUCAACAUCCUUAUCUCUGCUACUUUCAUCUUCUGGAUGUGUGAGUUCUUUACCGGCCAACAUUCAGUUCCAUAUAACAUGGCAGGCCUAACCACUGCUCUAUAAAACUUACCUUUUAGUAACGGUGGCACUUUCUUGUCACACAAGACUCCCGACGCUAACCUCCACUUCAUCCACCCCACCCCUAUGCAAUAACUGAGAGUUCGAUAAAAAAUAAAAAACUUUGAUACCCAAUGAUAUACCCAAAUAUUAGGGCACAUGGUAGUACCAAGAUAUAGUUCUGACGAUGAUAUUAGGGCACAUGGUUGUACCAGGAAAUUUCAAUUAACAUUCAUCGAAAUUUCUAACCAGGAUAUAGUUCUGAAAUUAGAAAAAGUUCAAAACUUUGAGUAUAAAACAAAGAUUGUACCAAGAUACCCAAAUACUGUACGCAAUAGAAGAUUAUUUUUUCAUCCCCAUUAGUAAGAAACUAGAAAAAUUGAAUCUUAAAAUAUAAGAACAAAACUAAAAAUUGGAAAAAAAAAAAUUGAGCAAAAGAAAUACUUACCAAUAGAGAAAGGGAUGAAGAUUUGCUAUGGGUGAGAGUAAUCUAGAAGACAAAAGCAAUGAAUGUAUAGGAUUGAAUUAGGUUAAGGGAGGCAGUGAAGGUGAAGGUGAAGCAGCGACAGAUUAUUGAAAAGAAUUGGGAAAAGUUUUCCCAGUAAUCUUAUUUGGGCGAUGAUUUCUUUUCUUGUAUUGGGGGAAAAUAUUUUCAUUAAUUGUAAUAUUUGGAGCGAAAUUUAUAUAAGAUAUUUUUAGACUACGCUUAUAAAGAGUUACGAUAUUAUUAAUUAGUUUAAUAAUAUGACAACUCUUCAAAAAUGUUGCAUUAUGACUAAUAAGCGUUGCCACAUAAGUUGUGUAUUGGCAACAUUUAAAAAGUAUGGUCUUUAUAUUUUAAGAGCACGCUUUUUAAGGGUGGCCUUAAAAACCGUGGCCGAAGACUCUAAUUAAAGGCCACACUUAUAAAGUGUAUCUAUAGAUAUUUUUGGCAACACUUUUCAAGCGUGGUCUAUAAUUAGUAUGGCUGUAGGCCUAAAAUGCUGUAGUGUAUCUUAUUAUUACAUUUCAUUUCUGCCUUACUUCAUAUUGAUGUCCCUUUUUUUGGGGCAAUGUGCUUCAUGACACGCAAGUGUAGAUAGGCGAGGUGAGGACCCUCCACUGUAGGCUGCCUCCAGAUAUCAGCUUUUGGUUGGUGAGCUCCAAUUCUUCCUGGAGUAUUGCCGAGUCAUGUUCUAAAUAUGUUAUUUUGUUUUAUGAGGAUGUCGGGAAUCCUGUCCCGACUUAUAUAUUAUGGUCAUAUUUUCUUAGAGGUUUUGCAGACAGUGUCCUGUGUAUAGCUUUAGGUAUGCCAUGUCAACGGCCUUGUCGGCCCCUAUGUAACUGUAUAAAUCUUUUUGAAUUAGUUAUGUGAGUUAAUUUCUAAUAUUGAUACUUAUGUAUAUAGAUGUGGCCUAUCAUGGCCCGUGACGAGUCUUAUAGUAAAGAAGGAUAAGGUACGUGACGCUCGGUUGAGUAGGCACCGGGUGCCAUUAGUGGCCCUCCGAUUUGGGUCGUGACACCCAAUCACAGGCCCUACUCGCAUAUGCGAACUCUUGUUCGCAAAAGUUAGGCUCACAAAUGUGAGAUCUGCAGCAGACACCAGAACUAGUAUUGCACCAACAAUCUUCAUAUUAACCAAAUUCAUCCGAAACACGUCCAAAACUCACCAUAGCCCCUCGGGCUCCAAACCAAACAUGCACACAAGUGUAAUAACAUUAUAUGAACUCGUUCACGCAAUCAAAUCACUAAAAUAACAUCUAAUUCUACGAAUCGAACAUCAAAAUGAAUGAAAUUUCAUAGUAAACUCAAGAACAACUAAAAUUACAUCUAAGCGUCCGAAUCAUGUCAAAUAAAUUCUGAAUUGCACCAAUUUUGCACACAAGUCUCAAAUAGCGAUAUAGACCUAUUUCAAGUUUUAACAUCAAAAUACGAACCCGUUACCUAUGAAAUUAACUUACGGUCAAACUUAGAAAAUUUUCAAACUUUCAAAAUACUAGAUUAGGCAAAAUGAGUCAAAUCAACCUAGGAACCUCCAAUUUCAAUUCCGACCAUACGCCCGAGUCCAAAAUCACGACUUAGACCUAUCGGAAUCGUCAAAACACCAACAUGAGGCCGUUUUCGUAAAAUGUUGAUUGUGAUCAACCCAAGUUAUUUUAAAGCCAAAAAUCAUGUUUUCUUCAAAUUUUCACAUAAAACUUUUCAAAAAGCAACAGGGACCGUGCACGCAAAUCAAGAAAUAUCAAAUGGAGCUAACAGAGGUCUUGAAAUACGAAAAUAAGAGCUAAUACUCAAAAUGACAUAUCAGGUCAUCACAUUGAUCCAUAAAUUUUAGAUGUCUACAGUGACAUGUGGUUUGAUUCGGUAAGAAAUGGUGUUAAAUUACAAUAAAAUCAACAUGCUUUGUUUUAGUGAAUAUACAACAAAAGAAAUUAAAUCAAACCCAACAAAGCUGCCAAUAUUUAUAAUAUUGAGUUAAGCCAAUAAAAAAAAAUAAGGCGUGAGAUAUUAUUUAUUUUAAGUUAAACUAUACGAUUUUUUCAAAAGGCCUCGCUGCAUUAAGCUAGCAUUUGGACAUAAAUUUGAUUGAAACUUAAAAAAAAA